rnacentral:tRNA from 1 species
UUUUAGGUGACUGAGUUAAAUAAGUGUUAGAUUUUUAAUCUAAAAACGGCGAUAUAAGCCCCUAAGAA